rnacentral:siRNA from 1 species
AUAACACUCUAACAUCAAAUGCCU